rnacentral:rRNA from 1 species
CACGGAGUUAGCCGGGGCUUCUUCUGCAGGUACCGUCACCACGGUGUCCCGUGGCUUCUUCCCUACUGAAAGAGGUUUACGACCCGAAGGCCUUCAUCCCUCACGCGGCAUCGCUGCAUCAGGCUUGCGCCCAUUGUGCAAGAUUCCCUACUGCUGCCUCCCGUAGG